UAUGUCUGUCUUCAGAUGGUACGUGCUGGAGACACAUGUCACCCCCAGUUGCUUCUGGGCAGGACUACGCUGCAGUCUGCUGUUCUGGGAGUGUAAUGCUGAAACAUCGCCCAGGCAAAAGCACAAAUCUUAAAUGUGAAUGUUUGGCCCCGUGCUUCUGUGAAAAACAGCAGGCACGCACAUCCUCGCCAUCCCUCUGUCAGGGCAUCCCACAGAACCAAUCAAUUCACAACAACAGGGGCUAUUUGACUGUACAAGCUGCUGGCACAAAAUGUAAUAAAAAUUUCUGUGGAAGGAAACAGAAAAACAGUCCUCCUGAAUAAAAAUGUAAAAUUGUACAUGUUUUUUUUUUUCUUCAAAAAUGCGCACGCUGUCUUUUGAAUGACUCCUUUGUUGUCCCUGCUGUUCAUUAACUUGUGAUAGAACACUUUCAAGAGCUGUUGGGCCUUUUGCCACUGUGCCAUUAACAUGAGUUUCUUCUUCCUGUGGGAUAUGAAUUAUUUUAAAAAAUACAACUUUGAGCCAUGUUUGUUAUUAAAAUAACGUUUUUAUUCUUAAGCUCAAGGACCGAUUUGAUUCAGCUUUAAGAAAAAAUCAUUUUUAGUCUGCUGUAUUUGGCUGAUUGCUUUUUACAUCAUCUUGUAAAAGCUUCAAAGAGCUCCUUGGUCACAACGCUGGUUUGUAGAAAUGCUGGACCAGAAGGCCGCAGUGAAAAUGAUAAAUACUCCAGCCUGAGCAGAAUUCAAACUUCAUUCGAUCUCUUAUUUAUCCACCGAGACAACACAGU
rnacentral:lncRNA from 1 species